CCUACGGGUGGCAGCAGUGAGGAAUAUUGGUCAAUGGACGAGAGUCUGAACCAGCCAAGUAGCGUGAAGGAUGACUGCCCUAUGGGUUGUAAACUUCUUUUAUAUGGGAAUAAAACGUUCCACGUGUGGGAUUUUGUAUGUACUAUAUGAAUAAGGAUCGGCUAACUCCGUGCCAGCAGCCGCGGUAAUACGGAGGAUCCGAGCGUUAUCCGGAUUUAUUGGGUUUAAAGGGAGCGUAGGUGGGUUGUUAAGUCAGUUGUGAAAGUUUGCGGCUCAACCGUAAAAUUGCAGUUGAGACUGGCAGUCUUGAGUACAGUAGAGGUAGGCGGAAUGCGUGGUGUAGCGGUGAAAUGCUUAGAUAUCACGAAGAACCCCGAUUGCGAAGGCAGCUUACGAAUCCGUGACUGACGCUGAUGCACGAAAGUGUGGGUAUCAAACAGGAUGAGAUACCCGGGUAGUC
rnacentral:rRNA from 1 species